rnacentral:rRNA from 1 species
CAGCAGCCGCGGUAAUACGUAGGGUGCAAGCGUUAAUCGGAAUUACUGGGCGUAAAGCGUGCGCAGGCGGUUAUAUAAGUCAGAUGUGAAAUCCCCGGGCUCAACCUGGGAACUGCGUUUGAGACUGUAUGGCUAGAGUGUGUCAGAGGGGGGUAGAAUUCCACGUGUAGCAGUGAAAUGCGUAGAUAUGUGGAGGAAUACCGAUGGCGAAGGCAGCCCCCUGGGAUAACACUGACGCUCAUGCACGAAAGCGUGGGGAGCAAACAGGAUUAGAUACCCCUGUAGUCCCUGUCUCUUAUAA